rnacentral:rRNA from 1 species
AGCAGCCGCGGUAAUUCCAGCUCCAAUAGCGUAUAUUAAAGUUGCUGCAGUUAAAAAGCUCGUAGUUGAAUUUCGGGAUCAAUAUGUCGGUCGUGCCUCGGUACGUACUGGCUUAUUGGUUUCUCCUUUCUGAAGAACCAUGAUGUCAUUUAUUUGGUGUCGUGGGAAAUCAGGACUGUUACUUUGAAAAAAUUAGAGUGUUUAAAGCAGGCUCACGCUUGAAUACAUUAGCAUGGAAUAAUGAAAUAGGACGUUUGAUUCUAUUUUGUUGGUUUCUAGGAUCGACGUAAUGAUUAAUAGGGAUAGUUGGGGGCAUUAGUAUUCAAUUGUCAGAGGUGAAAUUCUUGGAUUCAUUGAAGACUAACUACUGCGAAAGCAUUUGCCAAGGAUGUUUUCAUUAAUCAAGAACGAAAGUUAGGGGAUCGAAGACGAUCAGAUACCGUCGUAGUCUUAACCAUAAACUAUGCCGACUAGGGAUCGGAUGAUGUUAAUUUUUUAAUGACUCA